GAAUAAUUUUGUUUGUUUAUUGACCAUGGUUUUUAAGAAGUCAAGUAAAGUUUCAAGCGGAAUAGAAGAUAACAAACAAAGAUGGUGGAUCGACUGGUGAACAGUGAAGCAAAUGCCCGGCGCAUUGCUAUGGUGGAGUCCUGCUUUGGGACGUCAGGACAGCCACUCAAUGAACCAGGACGUGUCUUAGUGGGGGAGGGAGUGCUUACCAAGAUGUGCCGAAAGAAACCUAAACCUCGACAGUUUUUCCUAUUUAAUGAUAUUUUGGUAUACGGCAAUAUUGUACUCAAUAAAAAGAAGUACAACAAACAACACAUAAUUCCCCUAGAGGAGGUCCAGCUGUCCUCACUAGAAGAUGAUGGUCAAUUCCGGAAUGGCUGGUUGAUAAAAACGCCAACGAAAUCAUUUGCGGUUUAUGCUGCCACGGCUACGGAGAAGGCAGAGUGGAUGGCCCAUAUUAACAAGUGUGUCACUGAUCUUCUGCGCAAGAGUGGGAAGAAGGCAGCAGAGAAACACGCAGCUGUAUGGGUACCAGACAGUGAAACUCAGGUGUGCAUGCAUUGCAAGAAGACCCAGUUCACUUUAAUAAACAGGAGGCAUCAUUGCCGAAAGUGUGGGAAGGUCGUGUGUGGACCAUGUUCCAGUAAGAAGGUGAUACUGACUCAUCAGUCAAACAAACCCCUCCGUGUGUGCCUUACCUGCCACGAUGAGAUGUCCUCAACGCAAUCACAGACUGGCAGUGCGACACCUAUUAAUUCAAUGGCAGGUAGGAUGGAUGACAUCAUCUCUGAACCAGAAGAUGAAGAAAGGGACAAAGAUUCUUGUGAUGAGGAAGUGACCAUUGCCUUGAUGGAAGAUCCUUUUGAAAAUCUGGGCCCCUUGCCACCACCUCGACGCCCAAGUCGUGCUCGCACCUUGGACGAGGAGGAAGACUCAGGGGAAAAGAGCAAAGAGGGUGAUCUUAUUGAUAUAAGCUGUGACUUAUUUGGUGAGCCUUCUGGGGAUCAGGAUGACGACGCUCCUCCUCCAACUCUUUGGUGGGAUGACAUUGACUUGAAGGACCCAGUGUCUGACGGCAAUGAAGACGAAGAUGUGAAGGACCCAGUAUCUGACAACAGUAAUGAGGAAGACUUGCAGGCCCCAGUGUCUGACAGCAGUAAUGAGGAGAAAGACUUGCAGGUCCCAGUUUCUGACAGCAAGGAGGAGAAAGAUAUGAAGGAUCCUGUGUCUGGUGGCAAUAAUGAGGAAGAUAUGAAGGAGCGUAACAAUGAUUCAUCCGGAGACGACGACUCGGACGAAGACACAGACGACCCCUUGCUCCAGUCCCCACAGUCUGCCACAGAGGAAAAAUUGCCCUGGUUGUCUUUCUCUUUACCAAUCUGUAACUCUUGAUAAGAUCUGAAGCAGGAGAAAAGCUCUAUCUGACAUAAAAUAUAGCAUAAAAAAGUCUAGUAGUUCCAUGGGGUGAGUCAGUUAUAUUAGGGAAUAUUAUUGUUGUCAUGGUGGUGGUGGUUCCCUCAUUGAAGGAAGAAAUGCAGCUCUCCAGGUAAAGAUAGUUAUUGUAAUGCCAACAAUCCUGAUUUAUUAUUCAUCAGUAAUGUGGUCUGUCUUCCUUCUCACACCCCCUUUUGCUGCAAUCUUCGACCUCAGCUCAAAAUAGUGUCUUCUGACUGUUUUGACGUACGAUGACAUUCUACGAGGGGGGUGACGCAAGCAACGGAGAGGCUCCGUCCAUGUUAGAUGCCUCCGUUUCCUCGGCAGUUGACACAACAUCAACCCCUGACACCUCAAUGAAAGAAAC
rnacentral:misc_RNA from 1 species